UGGUGCAAAAUAAGGGGUGGGCAAGUCUGGUGUCAGCCGCCGCGGUAAUACCAGCACCCCGAGUGGUCGGGACGAUUAUUGGGCCUAAAGCAUCCGUAGCCGGUACUGCAAGUCUUCCGUUAAAUCCACCUGCUUAACAGAUGGGCUGCGGGGGAUACUACAGCGCUAGGAGGCGGGAGAGGCAAGCGGUACUCAAUGGGUAGGGGUAAAAUCCGCUGAUCCAUUGAAGACCACCAGUGGCGAAGGCGGCUUGCCAGAACGCGCUCGACGGUGAGGGAUGAAAGCUGGGGGAGCAAACCGGAUUAGAUACCCGGGUAGUCCCAGCUGUAAACGAUGCAGACUCGGUGAUGGGCUGGCUUUGUGCCAACCCAGUGCCGCAGGGAAGCCGUUAAGUCUGCCGCCUGGGGAGUACGGUCGCAAGACUGAAACUUAAAGGAAUUGGCG
rnacentral:rRNA from 1 species